GACGAAGUUAGGCAAUUUGGUUCAAUAAUUAGUGUGGCAACAGACAUCAUUUUGGCACAUUGUAUGAACAGCCCGUAACCACCCGGAGAAAAUAGGGUCGCAUGGUCAAUCGCGUUGAAAAAAUAAUAGGGUCGGUCGGGAACCGGAACCACAGGUAUUUUGUUUAGGCCUAAUGAUAAUUAGAAAACAUAGUAACGAAAUGAGAGAAUAAAUGCCCUCCAACUAGAGAUUUAGAUAUUCAAAAUUUUUACAAGGUGGAUUGUUUUUUGUAUUUAGACUGAAACUUUCAAAACAGUAUCUGGAACAUUUGCUCCUAUUUGUCUGAACACCAAACGUGCAGAAAUGGCAGCAAAAUUGUAUGCAAUGUUCCUAUUUUAUAAGGGAAUAUUAAAACCUUACAAAUUGGAUCCAGAAGCAGCAACGUUAAUUACUACAGAGAGUAACAAAAUGUCUGUGAGCUUCCAUUGUUGGACUGCAUGUGAUGGAAAAAAUCCAGUCAUUUAUGCAAAAGCAAUCAAGUGUAUUCAGGUUAGUUCUUUUAAUAUAUGGCAGACAUGUACUCAAGGACGGAUUUUCUGGAGAGGGGAGGGGGGGUUGCGCACCCCCAAAUAUCCCCCCAAUUUUUUUUCACCCCCCUCCCCGCAGAGAAAUUGUGCACCCCCAACAAAAAUGGGCACCUCCUGUCCCUGCCAAAAUUUAAAUGCACAAAUUAAACUACCGUUAAGUAAGAUAGAAAUGUUAAAAUUAACAUGUUUCUAUAUACGCUUUUUUGCAGCAAAUUAACGUAAAAGUAAAACACACUUACAAAAAAUAAGUUCACGUGCUCAUCGGCACCACGCGUCCGCACAUUCACAUCAGGGGCGGAUUCAGACAGGUUUACAUAAACCUGUCAGAUUUUCCAAAGAAAGAAAAUCUAUAACCUUCCAUGUAUAUAACUAAUUUAAAGAAUAUUCUGUUUCAUAAAAUUGAUGUUGUCUAAUCUAUUAUUAUUGAAAUUUGAUUAUGGACUACCGAGCGUCAGCGGCGGCGGAACAGAUUUCGUUCUGGGGGGGGCUAAAAUUUUUUGGGGACCUCCCCCCCCGUCG